GUCUGACAGAACCUGCUUUUUGCAUUCCGACAGGCAGCCCCGAAGCGAUCGCUUCGGGGCUGCCUGUUUUGUUCAUGG
rnacentral:sRNA from 1 species